GUCGAGGUGGUGUAACGGUUUAGCACGUCAGCCGUGAUAGCUGGAGACCCGGGUUCGAUGCCCGGCUUCGACA
rnacentral:tRNA from 1 species